AUGUACUCUGAAAUGGCAGAAGACCACACAUCCAAAUGAAAAUACUAUAGAGGAAAAGUGUCUCAAUCUCGAGUUCAUACCUACCUACUCUCCAAAAGUGGCCCUCAUAAUACUGAGGUAUACAAUCCUGAUGGGAGAUAAACAUGAACAUUGGCAACCCAACUCCAGCUGGGUGCCGAGGUGACUCCUAGGUGACAGCGCACCGCCUCAGUGGCUCGCUCUAAAAGCUGGCCCUCUGUUACUGCACUUGGGGAGCCAAACACUUCAUGGAACCAGGCACCACCCAUCAUCACCUAGGCACUUCCCGGUGUAGCUGGACCCUCUCGCUCCUUUGGAGAAAGUCAAUGAUGGACUCCGGGAGGUCCUCCAACCCCCUUCUAAGGGACCACUGGGCCCAAGACUCCUUCAUAGAUCGCUGGCUCAGAGGACCAG